UCACCGGCGAGGGCAACUGCACAUCUCCGGCAAGAGCAAUUCCGGACUGUCCGUUUGCGUAGAUGCUGUUACCAAGGAAUGAAUCGUUUUUGCUGGUGUCGCUAAGAAAGAUGCCGUUGCUUUUGUUGAACGCGAUCACAUUACCUGCACCGCUGGUUGUGCCACCGAUCAGAUUUCCGUCGGAAUGUUGUUGCACCGAAACCCCGUUGGUGUUGCCCAGCCCACCAAUGCCGCUGGCGUCCAGUCCG
rnacentral:rRNA from 1 species